GACGUAGGGCGCGAGCGUUGUCCGGAUUUAUUGGGCGUAAAGAGCUCGUAGGCGGUUUGGCAAGUCGGGUGUGAAACCUCCAGGCUCAACCUGGAGACGCCACCCGAGACUGCUAUGACUUGAGUCUGGUAGGGGAUCACGGAAUUCCUGGUGUAGCGGUGAAAUGCAUAGAUAUCAGGAGGAACACCGGUGGCGAAGGCGGUGAUCUGGGCCAGUACUGACGCUGAGGAGCGAAAGCGUGGGGAGCGAACAGG
rnacentral:rRNA from 1 species